rnacentral:rRNA from 1 species
UACGUAGGCAGCAAGCGUUGUUCGGAGUUACUGGGCGUAAAGAGUGCGUAGGUGGUGCCCUAAGUCUGUUGUGAAAUCUCCCGGCUUAGCUGGGAGGGUGCGGUGGAAACUGGGGUGCUUGAGUGUGGGAGAGGUAAGCGGAAUUCCUGGUGUAGCGGUGAAAUGCGUAGAUAUCAGGAGGAACACCGGUGGCGAAGGCGGGUCUCUGGGCCGAUAUUGACGCUGAGGAGCGAAAGCGUGGGGAGCGAACAGG